rnacentral:rRNA from 1 species
GACGAACGCUGGCGGCGUGCCUAAUACAUGCAAGUAGAACGCUGAAGAGAGGAGCUUGCUCUUCUUGGAUGAGUUGCGAACGGGUGAGUAACGCGUAGGUAACCUGCCUUGUAGCGGGGGAUAACUAUUGGAAACGAUAGCUAAUACCGCAUAACAAUGGAUGACACAUGUCAUUUAUUUGAAAGGGGCAAUUGCUCCACUACAAGAUGGACCUGCGUUGUAUUAGCUAGUAGGUGAGGUAACGGCUCACCUAGGCGACGAUACAUAGCCGACCUGAGAGGGUGCUCGGCCACACUGGGACUGAGACACGGCCCAGACUCCUACGGGAGGCAGCAGUAGGGAAUCUUCGGUAAUGGGGGCAACCCUGACCGAGCAACGCCGCGUGAGUGAAGAAGGUUUUCGGAUCGUAAAGCUCUGUUGUAAGUCAAGAACGAGUGUGAGAGUGGAAAGUUCACACUGUGACGGUAGCUUACCAGAAAGGGACGGCUAACUACGUG